rnacentral:misc_RNA from 1 species
AAAAUGCGAUAAGUAAUGUGAAUUACAGAAUUCAGUGAAUCAUCGAAUCUUUGAACGCACAUUGCGCCCGCCAGUAUUCUGGCGGGCAUGCCUGUUCGAGCGUCAUUUCAACCCUCAAGCUCAGCUUGGUGUUGGGACUCGCGGUAACCCGCGUUCCCCAAAUCGAUUGGCGGUCACGUCGAGCUUCCAUAGCGUAGUAAUCAUACACCUCGUUACUGGUAAUCGUCGCGGCCACGCCGUAAAACCCCAACUUCUGAAUGUUGACCUCGGAUCAGGUAGGAAUACCCGCUGAACUUAAGC